GCCGGGGAGUUAGCGGUGCCCUGUACCUGCAAUCCGCUAUAGCAGGGGUGAUAUUCUGUCGAGGGCUUUUUCCUUGGAAAGCAGAACUUUAUUUGUUGGCGUUGAAGUCUGGGUCUUGCGCAACAGAAACUUACGAACCGUGUCAGGUCAGGAAUGGAGCAGCACUAAGUAAGCACUUCUGUGUGCCGUAAGGUCGCCUGGACCGAGUCAGCGGUAGAGAA
rnacentral:SRP_RNA from 1 species